rnacentral:lncRNA from 1 species
AGGUUGCAAAAACACAGCUCUAGAAAUGAACCACGAGAGUCCAGGGUGGUGUGCUCCAACUGCUGCCACGCACAAGCAGACCAGCUAUGUGACGAACAAACAGAUGUCUUGGAGUGACAGUGGCUGUCCUGCUGUGUCUUCUCGGAGAUCAAGCCAUCCAUGAGAAAAGCCAGCAUGAAAUUCUCCACAGGUGCUUCAUUUCGCCACCUUCACUGCAAAUGUGGAUAGAAUUCACGGCCAGAGUCUGUGGAUAUUUGAAGAGAUGAAUAAUUGUUUUCUUAGCAGAUUGAGCCGGUCUCUGGUGCUGAUAGUGAUUAGCUGGUGGGUCUGUCUCUUCCCCAGGCAACUUGGGAGCUUCCCUACCCCCAGCUGGGAUGUAGUGAUCCCUGAGGAAGAAUACGACUCAGUACCCAAGUAUCUCUCCUCGCUAAAAUUGCAGCUAUUAGGAUUAUUCUUUAGGGCUGAAUUAACAUUUCAGAUAUAUGUAAAUCCAUAAAAGUAAACCAAAGCACACCGAAUUCAAAAAGUUUAAUCAUAAGAUGAAUGGGUGCUUAUUGCAGGAAAUUUGGAAAAUAAAAAUGAUACAAAACCUGACAUUCUUAAGUGAGCAAGAUCACACAGUAUUUUUCUUGCUGGGUGUGGCUUGUUUCACUUAAUGCAACAUCCUCUGGGCUUGUCCAUGUUCUGGGAAAAGGCAGGGUCUUCUUGUGGUUUUGCUUUGCUUUUUAGGACUGUGUAAGAUGUCACUGUGGGUGGGAACCACAUUUUCCUCAUCCAUUUCUCUGCCAGUAUUUUAGUAUCUUUGUUGGUAUAAACAAUAUUG